rnacentral:rRNA from 1 species
UACAGAGGUCUCAAGCGUUGUUCGGAUUCAUUGGGCGUAAAGGGUGCGUAGGCGGCGCGGUAAGUCGGGUGUGAAAUCUCGGGGCUUAACUCCGAAACUGCAUUCGAUACUACCGUGCUUGAGGACUGGAGAGGAGACUGGAAUUUACGGUGUAGCGGUGAAAUGCGUAGAUAUCGUAAGGAAGACCAGUGGCGAAGGCGGGUCUCUGGACAGUUCCUGACGCUGAGGCACGAAGGCCAGGGGGAGCAAACGGG